rnacentral:rRNA from 1 species
GAUGAACGCUGACAGAAUGCUUAACACAUGCAAGUCAACUGUGGCGGACGGGUGAGUAACGCGUAAAGAACUUGCCUCACGGAUAGGGACAACAUUUGGAAACGAAUGCUAAUACCUGAUACUGUGAGAGAGCUUUGCGUCCCAUUAGCUAGUUGGAGAGGUAACGGCUCACCAAGGCGAUGAUGGGUAGCCGGCCUGAGAGGGUGAUCGGCCACAAGGGGACUGGGACACGGCCAGUACUGAUACGGGAGGCAGCAGUGGGGAAUAUGGGAGAAUGGACCAAAGUCUGAUCCAGCAAUUCUGUGUGCUCGAUGAAGUUUUCGGAAUGUAAAGGGCUUUCAGUAGGGAAGCGGUACCAACAGAAGAAGUGACGGCUAAAUACGUGCCAGCAGCCGCGGUAAUUC